rnacentral:lncRNA from 1 species
AGAAGAAAUUCUUUUGGAUUUUCAUGGGGAGAAACCAAGAAGAGUUCUUCAGAAACUCAGAUUUAAAAAUUCCUUUUCUAGAGAAUUAAAAUAUAUUAAUAACAGAUUUGACUUUAGAUAAAUGUCACACUCCAGUAAAGAGACUUUAAGAAUUACUCAGUAAUCAAACCAUGUGAAUUCAAUGGUCUAUAUGCUUGGAAUCUUAAGAAAUUACUGAUGAUGACAUUGGCUGUCUCGGUUUUAGGAACCGCCAGAAAUAGCCACUAACCAAGAGAAAGAGAGCAAGGACUAACCCUGAAUAAUUGGUCAACAAUGCUGAUUUCGUUGGUUUCCUGUUCCUUUUGCUUCCUGGAAAAUACAGACCUACAAAGCAAA